CACUCCUACGGGAGGCAGCAGUGGGGAAUUUUGGACAAUGGGCGAAAGCCUGAUCCAGCAAUGCCGCGUGAGUGAAGAAGGCCUUCGGGUUGUAAAGCUCUUUUGUCAGGGAAGAAACGGUGAGAGCUAAUAUCUCUUGCUAAUGACGGUACCUGAAGAAUAAGCACCGGCUAACUACGUGCCAGCAGCCGCGGUAAUACGUAGGGUGCAAGCGUUAAUCGGAAUUACUGGGCGUAAAGCGUGCGCAGGCGGUUUUGUAAGUCUGAUGUGAAAUCCCCGGGCUCAACCUGGGAAUUGCAUUGGAGACUGCAAGGCUAGAAUCUGGCAGAGGGGGGUAGAAUUCCACGUGUAGCAGUGAAAUGCGUAGAUAUGUGGAGGAACACCGAUGGCGAAGGCAGCCCCCUGGGUCAAGAUUGACGCUCAUGCACGAAAGCGUGGGGAGCAAACAGGAUUAGAAACCCCUGUAGUCCCA
rnacentral:rRNA from 1 species